GAUGAAGCCUGCUGGGAGCGUGAAUGACAUGGCCCUGGAUGCCUUCGACUUGGACCGGAUGAAGCAGGAGAUCCUAGAGGAGGUGGUGAGAGAGCUCCACAAGGUGAAGGAGGAGAUCAUCGACGGUGAGUGCAGCCCCACUGGGGAGGGUGGCACCCAGGUGCGGCCGCAGGACAAGGGUCCCUGUCACCCAGGCUGGGGGCCUCCAGUUUUGAGCUGGAGCCCAUACUGCACUGGGCCCUGUGAGAGAUUUCAUUCUUCUUACCAUCUCUAGUUGAGGAAACAGGCUCAGGAAAGCUGAAAGCUAAGUGGCUUGCCUAAGAAUCUGUAGCUCCCUGGUAGCAUGACACCCAAAUCUGACCUUCCACAUCCCCGGCACCUUCCUGGAAGACCCACGUGGGAAGAGCAUGGAGGGGAGACCCCAGCAUUGUUCCAGAGCCAGGUCUGGAGGAGCCACCUGAGCUGCUGUCAUUCCACCCCCUGGCGGUUUAUACUGCCUUCUUGAUACUGCCACCUCCAGUCACUGGUGUUGGGCUUCUGAGGUGACCACUCUGCCUUCCUGGGGGUACA
rnacentral:sRNA from 1 species